rnacentral:rRNA from 1 species
CGAUGAAGAACGCAGCGAAAUGCGAUAAGUAAUGUGAAUUGCAGAAUUCAGUGAAUCAUCGAAUCUUUGAACGCACCUUGCGCUCCUUGGUAUUCCGAGGAGCAUGCCUGUUUGAGUGUCAUUAAAUUCUCAAUCCCAGAAAGGGUUUAUUCUCAGCUGGGCUUGGAUAUGGGGGUUUUGCCGGCUUUGUAAAGAGUCAGCUCUCCUGAAAAACAUUAGCAAGACUCUUAUUGCAACCUUCUAUUUGGUGUGAUAAUUAUCUACAUCAUAGAUUGUGUGCAUGUCUGGCUUCUAACAGUCCAUUGAUUUGGACAAAACUCUGACAAUUUGACCUCAAAUCAGGUAGGACUACCCGCUGAACUUAAGCAUAUCAAUAAGCGGAGGAAAAGAAACUAACAAGGAUUCCCCUAGUAACUGCGAGUGAAGCGGGAA